rnacentral:rRNA from 1 species
GAUUAACGCUGGCGGCGUGCCUAAUACAUGCAAGUCGAACGGAGAGCUUCUGGUAAUUUAUUAUCGGAAGGUCUUAGUGGCGAACGGGUGAGUAACGCGUUGGUGACCUGCCCCGAAGAGUGGAAUAACCCCGGGAAACUGGGGCUAAUACCGCAUGUGGUCACGGUUUUUAGAAAACCGUGUCUAAAGGACUUCGGUCCACUUCGGGAGGGGCCUGCGUCCCAUCAGCUAGUUGGUAGGGUAAUGGCCUACCAAGGCGAAGACGGGUAGGGGACCUGAGAGGGUGACCCCCCACAAUGGUACUGAAACACGGACCAUACACCUACGGGUGGCAGCAGUAGGGAAUAUUGCACAAUGGACGAAAGUCUGAUGCAGCAACGCCGCGUGUGCGAUGAAGGCCUUCGGGCUGUAAAGCACUUUUCUGAGGG